AUGCAGCAACAUAUCAUUGCUGCUUUCCACGACAGCCCGAUGGGCGGUCAUUCUGGGUUCCCAGUGACUUAUCGCCGUGUCCGCCGUUUAUUUGCUUGGCCCAAGAUGAAAACACACAUCCAACAAUACGUGAGAUGCUGCCAGGUCUGCCAACAAGCCAAGCCAGAUAGAACAGCUUCGCCGGGCUUGUUGUUACCCCUUCCUAUACCCAAGGAGUCGUGGGACCUCAUCACCAUGGAUUUUGUGGACGGCCUACCUCAGUCCGGACAAUACAACUGCUUGCUGGUUGUUGUCGACAAAAGAACCCGGUUUGCUCACUUUCUUCCCUUGGCUCACCCGUACACAGCAUCUAAAGUGGCACUGCUCUACAUGCAACAGUUAUACAAACUCCAUGGAUUCCCAGGAGCCAUUGUGUCCGAUCGCGACCCAGUCUUUACCAGUCACUUUUGGCAGGAGUUGUUCAAGUAUGCAGGCACCGAGCUACGGAUGAGCACAGCAAACCACCCACAGACCGACGGGCAAACCGAGAGGGUGAACCAAUGCAUCAAGACCUACCUUCGUUGCUUUGUGCAAGCCUGUCCGAAAUGGUGGAGCUUUUGGGUUCCCUUGGCCCAAUUCUGGUACAACUCUUCUCACCACUCAGCAAUCGGGAUGACACCAUUCAAGGCCAUGUUCGGCAGGGAGCCACAACAUUGGGGAAUUACGGCAUCUACUUCAUCUUCGGUACCAGCGCUGCAAACUUGGCUCGAAGAGCGAGCUGUCAUGCAAGACUUGAUACAGCAG
rnacentral:rRNA from 1 species